rnacentral:rRNA from 1 species
GGCAGACGGGUGAGUAAUGUAUAGGAAUCUACCUAGUAGUACGGAAUAAUUGUUGGAAACGGCAACUAAUACCGUAUACGCCCUACGGGGGAAAAAUUUAUUGCUAUUAGAUGAGCCUAUAUUAGAUUAGUUAGUUGGUGAGGUAAAGGCUUACCAAGACAAUGAUCUAUAGCUGAUCUGAGAGGAUGAUCAGCCACACUGGAACUGAGAUACGGUCCAGACUCCUACGGG